rnacentral:rRNA from 1 species
AUACGUAGGGGGCGAGCGUUGUCCGGAAUGACUGGGCGUAAAGGGCGCGUAGGCGGCCGAUUAAGUCUGGAGUGAAAGUCCUGCUUUCAAGGUGGGAAUUGCUUUGGAUACUGCCGCGCUUGAGUGCAGGAGAGGUUAUCGGAAUUCCCGGUGUAGCGGUGAAAUGCGUAGAGAUCGGGAGGAACACCAGUGGCGAAGGCGGGUAACUGGACUGCAACUGACGCUGAGGCGCGAAAGUGUGGGGAGCAAACAGGAUUAGAUACCCUGGUAGUCCACACUGUAAACGAUGAAUGCUAGGUGUAAGAGGUAUCGACCCCUUUUGUGCCGGAGUCAACACAAUAAGCAUCCCGCCUGGGGAGUACGGCCGCAAGGUUGAAACUCAAAUGAAUUGACGGGG